UGGCUGGCGGCGAAUCAUUCACAAACGGCGGUUGGAAGCAACCGAAGUGUAUGUCUGCGGUUUGUGGUGUGCAGUCCCACUUCCAGGUAGAUGAUGCUGCUGUUGCAACGAACAGCAGCUUCCCAGGUCCACUGUGUGAGAGUUAACACAAGCUGGUCCAUUGAUUUGCUGUGGUUGAGCAGGGUUCCUGGAUUGAGUGAGUAAGCUCUGUGAAGCAGUAGAAUAAAGUGGUGAGGAUGUAGUGUAGUGUAGCUCCGGCCUCACUUGAGUAGGCAAGUAAGGUGUACCACUAGCAGCAGCAGCAGCAGCAUCUAGUGCAUGCAUGUAGUAGAAAUGAAACUGGAUCCUGUGCCAGCCAGAGAGAUGGUGGCAGCUUCUGUUCUCCUCUAUGUACCCCAGCUUUGUAUAUAGUCCUGGCGAGCUAUUUAUUUGUCUGUAAGAGUACAAUUAGAGUACUGAUCAUAUGAAUGCAUAUCGGUUGCUAUUUAUUUGUCUGUAAGAGUACAGUUAGAGCACUGAUCAUAUGAAUGCUUAGCAGUUGCUACUUUGUGUGUAGUACUAUGUAGGAGUAUAUGACAGUAAUGGCUAACCCUUUGGACUGCAAAUGGAGAGGCACUGUCACAAUGUUUUUCGACAAAUUGUGGAUUUUACUGACUCGAAAUGAAACAUCAAGUGGACACAAACACAAUGAACAUACACCCGACCUAUGCCGCAUGACAGUUCUUCCACCUCCAGUGCGUGCAAUCAACUGAGUCGAGCCUGAGCUUUGUUCAUCUUCAAAAGUUUGUACUUGAAAGCCUGGUCCGAAAGCAACCGGUUGCCAAGACCAAGGGCCGCGGCAGUGGCGGUAGGCUCCGGCGGAACGGCUGGCCCGUCUUCAGCUCCAGGAGCGAGCAGGUGAAGGUCGACUGAUUGAGCCGGUGGCGAAUCAUUCAAGGACGGCAACCCAAGUGUCUGCGGUUUGUGGCAUGCAUGAUGCAUCAGCACUAGACUCCAGUUUCCAGUUAGAUAUGCUGUUGCAAUGAACAACAACUUUCCACUCCUACUGUCUACUGUGUGAGAAUUUGUACAAGCUCAAGCUGGUCCAUUAAUGGAGAUUGUUGUGGCCGAGAGGACUUCGAGUGUGUGAGGUGUAGUUUAGUGCAGCUCCGGCCGGUCUCACUUGAUCAUGUUCAUGUAGCAGCAGCAGAUGCAGUAGUACCAAUAGCACCUGUGCCAGCCAGAGAGAUG
rnacentral:lncRNA from 1 species